CCCAGUUCGGAUUGUAGUCUGCAACCCGACUACAUGAAGCUGGAAUCGCUAGUAAUCGCGGAUCAGAAUGCCGCGGUGAAUACGUUCCCGGGUCUUGUACACACCGCCCGUCACACCAUGGGAGUCGGAAAUGCCCGAAGUCUGUGACCCAACCUUAGGGAGGGAGCAGCCGAAGGCAGGUCGGAUGACUGGGGUGAAGUCGUAACAAGGUACC
rnacentral:rRNA from 1 species